AUCAUUCUCAAAUAUUGUCAGUUUUCUCCACGUCCAUAAUCCAUGGCUGCAACAACUCCAUUAUUGGCUCCCAAAGCUUCACAACCAUGUCUUACUCAACCACCCAACAAAAUUACAAGUAUCAAAACCCUAGCUGAAUCACCUGGUCUUACUACCAUCCCUUCAAAAUACAUCUACUCUUGCAAUUUUAGUGAUCAAGUGGCUUCUGACCAUGAAUAUACAAUCCCUGUCAUAGAUUAUUCUCUUCUCAUUUCUGCUAAUCCCAAUCAACGGUCCCAAGUCAUCUAUGAACUGGGCAAGGCCUGUGAGGAGUGGGGGUUCUUCAUGGUGAUCAACCAUGGAGUGCCAGAGAGCUUGGUGAAGAGGAUGAUUGAUGUGGUUGGAGGGUUUUUCAACCUGACAGAGGGAGAUAAACUGGAGUUCACUGAUAAGGGUGUGUUUGAUCCAAUCAGGUGUGGCACCAGCUUUAAUGCUUCCAUGGACACAGUCUUGUCUUGGAAAGAUUUUCUCAAGGUUUUUGUUCAUCCUGAGUUUCACUCACCCAACAAUCCCCCAGAGUUCAGAGGAAUAUCAUCGGAUUAUGUGAAAAAAGUCCGAGGAAUAGCAAGGGAGUUGCUCAGAGGGAUAUCAGAGAGCUUAGGGCUUGAAAAGAAUUACAUAGACGAGACCUUGAAAUUGGAAUCAGGUCUUCAAGUCAUUGCAGCAAAUUUCUAUCCUCCUUGUCCACAACCUGCACUUGCAAUGGGCAUGGUCCCGCAUUCUGACCACGGCCUCUUAACCCUCUUAAUACAGAACGGAAUUGACGGCCUUCAAGUGAAACACAAAGACAAGUGGUUCAAUGUGAAUGCCAUUCCCAACUCUCUCCUUGUUAACACUGGCGAUCAUCUUGAGAUUCUGAGUAAUGGGAAGUACAAGAGUGUUCUACAUCGAGCAGUUGUGCACGAUAAAACUACGAGGAUAUCUGUUGCCAUGGCACAUGGACCAUGUCUUGAUGCAGUUGUUACCCCAGCACCAAAGUUGCUAGCCGAUGCAGAAAAUCAUCAGCCAGCGUACAUUGGGAUUAAAUAUAAGGAUUACUUGCAACUGCAGCAGAGCAGCAAUCUGGAUGGGAAAUCUAACUUGGAUUGUCUACGAGUUUGAUUAGGAUAUUGCAAUGAUGGCAGGUAUAAGAGCAUACCAAAGGACUGCUUCUGUACGCUGAUCUUGCUGCAUUGCAAAUGCUAAUUUGCAGUUCUUGGCAAAUCCUGGAAAAUGACAAGUCUUGGGAGCUAUAUAUAUAAUGCGGCAAGCGAUCCCAGCAGAAGUUGAUUAAUUCUUGAGCAUCAACAUAAAAUCCCUCUUUCAACUUCACAAAUGCACAAGGUGUUUAUCCCCAAUGAUCAUCUGGGCAGCCAACGAUUGCAGCCACGAGAACUGCUGGGUGACCAUACAGAACUGCUUCACUCCAACCGAAUGCUUCACCGCAAGAUCUUCACUUCGAAACCUGCCUCCCCGGAAUGCUUGUUCUGUUGCUUUUAUGUCUUUCAAGUAUCCACUGAUUACUGGGUUUCCCCUGAACAUAAUUUCCCCUAAUGACUUAUCAUCAACAGUUACAGUU